rnacentral:rRNA from 1 species
AUGGAAUGGCUCCAAGAUCCGCUCAGCUGGCUGUUCGUUGCCUCGGUGGUCUUUGUGGUGCUGAAGCGGCGGCGGCGGCGGGGCAGGGCGCCGCCGCUGCCUCCAGGGCCGAACCCGCUGCCGAUCGUCGGCAACAUGUCAAUGAUGGACCAGCUGACGCACCGGGGCCUCACGGCGCUGGCGAAGAAGUACGGCGGCUUUCUCCACCUCCGCCUCGGCAAGGUCCACGCCUUUGCCGUGUCGACGCCGGAGUACGCCCAGGAGGUGCUGCAGGUGCAGGACGCUGCCUUCUCGAACCGGCCGGCUACCCUCGCCGCCACCUACCUCACCUACGACCGCGCCGACAUGGCGUUCGCGCACCACGGGCCCUUCUGGCGCCAGAUGCGCAAGCUGUGCGUGAUGAAGCUCUUCAGCCGGCGCCGUCCGGAGACGUGGCUCGCCGUGCGCGACGAGUCCGCGGCGCUCGUCCGCGCCGUGGCCCGGCGGAGCGGCGAGACCGUGAACCUCGGGGAGCUCAUCUUCAACCUCGCCAAGAACGUCACCUUCCGCGCCGCCUUCGGCGCCGGAGCCGCCGGCGACGCCGGGAAGCAGGAAGAGUUCAUCGCCAUCCUCCAGGAGUUCUCCAAGCUCUUCGUCGAGUUCUGCAUCGGCGACUUCAUCCCGUGGCUCAGCUGGGCGGACCCGCACGGGAUGAACGUGCGCCUCCGCGCCGCGCGCGCCGCGCUCGACCAGUUCAUCGACAAGAUCAUCGACGAGCACAUGAAGAGGGGCAGGAACCCCGACGACGUCGACGCUGACAUGGUGGAUGACAUGCUCGCGUUCCUUCCUGAGGCGAGAACCAAGGAGGCCGCCGGCGACGGCGAGGACGACCUCCAGAACACGCUCCGCCUCACCCGUGACAACAUCAAGGCCAUGAUCAUGGACGUGAUGUUUGGUGGGACGGAGACAGUGGCAUCGGCGAUCGAGUGGGCAAUGGCGGAGAUGAUGCACUGUCCUGAUGACCUCCGACGCCUGCAACAGGAGCUCACCGACACGGUGGGUCUCGAUCGGAACGUGGACGAGUCGGACCUCGACAAGCUCCCCUUCCUCAAGUGCGUCAUCAAGGAGACGCUCCGGUUGCACCCACCCAUCCCAUUGCUCAACCACGAGAAUGCCGAGGAUUGUGUCGUCGGCGGAUACUCCGUGCCCCGGGGCUCCCGCAUCAUGAUCAACGUCUUUGCCAUCGGUCGUGACCCCAGCGCGUGGAAGGACGCCGACGCGUUCCGACCUUCAAGGUUCAUGGCGGGGGAAGGGGAGGCCGCUGGGGUCGACUUCAAGGGCGGGUGCUUUGAGUUCCUGCCGUUUGGGUCUGGCCGCCGCUCAUGCCCUGGUAUGGCGCUAGGUUUGUACUCAUUGGAGCUCGUCGUCGCGCAGCUCACCCAUGGGUUCAACUGGGCACUGCCCGACGGCAUGACGCCGUCGGAGCUCGACAUGUGUGAUGUCUUCGGCCUCACAGUUCCACGUGCCUCUAGGCUCAGCGUCGUGCCCACGCCUCGACUCACCUGCUCUUUGGUUGCUGAUGAUGAUGUCGCGCGCCAGGCGUGA